UACUGCAUGAUUGUCAUUACUACUAUAGAUGCCAGGGGCAGAUUUAGUUUUUGAUAAGUUUAGCUAAGGAGAAUGUACCAAUACAUAUCAAAAUGAUUACCUUAUUUUUACUAGAUAGUAAGGGUUGCUACAUUGUAAUAAAAAGCUUCGUGUGCACACGUGUGUUAAAAGUGAUUUUUUGAUUCGAGGUUGUUGUUUAGGUCACAAAUACAAAAAAAAAAUUGUUGCCAAAAAUUUCGGUCCCGUGGGAUCAAAUUAGUUGACAUCAUUACUUUCACGGUCAGCAAAAAAACAAUUUUAAAAUUUUAUUUUAUAUAUGGUUGGAAAGAGGAGAUCAAGGGGGUCAAUAAAAAUGUAAAAACUAUAUGCUGAAAAUUUAUCAUUCGUGAGAUUUUAACAUUUGAAAUUUGUAUAAAAUACAGACCGUUAAUUUACUGACCCAGCUUAAAAAGGACUAGAACUUGGUCAUUUGUGCUCUUUUUGUGGUGAAUUUUGGCAAGGUGUUAGGUCGCCUUAGUAUCUUUCUGUUUAAUUGAAAUUUAUUGUUCAAGUCACUGCGGGGGAUAAUUCACAGACCAAUAAUUUACAGACUCAGGUAUCAAACAUUCUUAAAAAAGGAACAAAAUUAUGGAACCCUAGCAACAAAAAUUAAAUAUACAUCUAGUUAUCGAAAUGAUCUUCAUCAGACCAAUCUGAGUCAGUGUCAAGUUCUUCUUUACUACUUUCGCAUUUCUCUUAAUUCGAACAGUUGAAACAUUUACACAUGUCCGUGAAUACAAAUUUGUUUUUGAUGUAUUAACAUCUUCCUACUGUAAUCUCCAUGACAUCCACAAACACUCAACUCAAUCAAUCCCAGUGCAGCAGGAAGAUUAUCUGUCAUUAUUGGAUUAAGCGAAUUACCAUUUAACUCCCAGCCAUAGUUUUGAGGAAACGGGAGAUUUUGGAUGGACAUGUGUGACUUCUUCAGCACCAGACAUACUAAAUGACUUCUAAAAAUUAUAUACUUAAAUGCGUUACUAGUAGGAGGCGACUUUGUUGAAUCCAUUUGGUACUUUGAGAAAAGGAAUCAUCAAAGAUUUGCCAAGGUUGUCAUCUCUUCAGAUUUUCACCAUGUCGUUUUCAUUUUUCCUGAAAAGCGUCCAAUGUGGUCGCAACCUGUGAACACAUGGAAACCCAACAUGGCAGCUAAUCGCUCUUCACCUAGAACUUCGAAGUACCGUCUGAUACUGAUAUCACGGGUAUCGGUUCCUCUUCCAGUACGAAAAUAUGUUGCGAGUGGUAACGAUUCACAAUAAUAGAGAAGCAAUAAAAACACAUCUGUAUCGCGGUGCUCCGAAGAGGUUAGAAGAUUUCCAUGGUUAUGGAUCUGCCAAGCCAACUCAACUUGAUAAACCAAAAGAUCUCUACCGCAAGCGCUAUUACGAAGCCCUGGAUCAUGUUGUGAAUUGCAUCAAAGAAAGAUUCAACCAAGAAGAUUAUCGAAAAUAUGCUGCGUUGCAAGAGCUUAUUCUCAAAGCUGCCAGAAAAUAGCCGUUCUCUACAGAGUUGGAGGAGGUGCUACAGUUUUACAACAGCGAUUUCGAUGGAUCUCUUUUGAAGUUACAGUUAACAAUGUUCGAGGAAGAUUUUCCCAAAAUUACUUCAGAUGUAAAUUUCACUGAUGUGGUGAAGUAUUUGAAAAGUCUUCAUUUUAGCAAAAAACACUUUUCUCUGAAGUAUUUCGUCUCGCAAAGUUAAUUCUGGUUUGCCCAGCGACAAAUGCCACAAGUGAACGGUCGUUUAGUGCACUGCGCCGUGCCAAAAUGUACCUGCAAAGUACAAUGACCUACAAACGUCUGAACCAUAUCAAGAUGUUGAUGUUGCUAAUAUUUUUGUGAGUGGAUCCGAGCACCGUCUUUUAAUUUUCGGUAAAUUUCACGAAACUGACAAAAGAAAAGCAAACGUUCUUGUAAAAACAAAAGGAACACAAGUAUCUUUUUAGCAAUUAUUUUAGCUUUUAGUUUAUAUCCGGAAAAAAGCGGAGCGAUAUGAGUUACUCGAAAGUGUGGUCACAAAGUUUGAUACUCAAAGACGUGCAAUUGUUAAUUUAAUCACUUUUUAAUGUCAAAUUGAAUUGCAAAUUCUUUCAUAAAAGAAAAUAAAGUUGAGGCGAUGUUUUCGAUCAACUCAAAACAUUCCGCUUUUUUACGGACAAUCUGCACGGUAGUUUUGUAUUUUCAUUUUCAAAAUAGAAAUUUCAAUUAAAAAUAGCUUGCUAUCUAUGCAUAAAUUAAGUGAAUUCCUAUUUUCUGGAGAAAUAUAGGGAGAUGUUUGUCGCAUGUAUUUGAAAUAUAAGCAAUGAUGCUUUUGUAUCUCAAACUUUAACCGUAUUUAGGCAGGCAUUCGUCAAAUUUCAAAAUUAUAGUUUCAUUUGAAGACACUUCUUUAUGCGUAAAAACAUACACUAUAUGUAAUCGUUACAUUUUAAACCAAUUUAGCCUCGUAAAUAGGCUAAAAAAUUUUCUAAGGGGGCUUACAGCGCUCGCUACCGCCGCAUGAACUUUGCACUGCUUCCGCCGGGCCUGAUAUUUUAAUUAUAAAAAGAAAUACGAGAAGUUUUAGUGUUGAAAAAUAUUUCUGUUGCGGAUAUUUUGUAGUAUAUCUACAAGACAUUACCAACGUACAAUAAUUUUUGUGUUGUUAACACUACAACUUUUUUUAUUAUUUCUUUACCUACUUUCGCAAAUUAUUAUAUUUUUUAAGAAUUAUUUUUUUUUACGACGAUGUUGUUCUACUGGAAUUUAACUUGUUUCCUUCACCCUUCAGUUUUCACAUUAUUUUCACUUAUUAAGGUUUAAGUUCGACAUGACAAGCAUUUUGUGGACAAAAUUUUACAGAAUAUUUUUUAUUUGCACGCACUACGUCAGAAACCAUUUCCUUUUUUUUUUUUUUUUUCAAGCAACAAUUUUUAAUUUCCCAC